UAGGGAAUCUUCCGCAAUGGACGAAAGUCUGACGGAGCAACGCCGCGUGAGUGAAGAAGGAUUUCGGUUCGUAAAACUCUGUUGUUUGGGAAGAAAAAAUGUAUAGUAACUAUAUACAAAAGAGACGGUACCUAACCAGAAAGCCACGGCUAACUACGUGCCAGCAGCCGCGGUAAUACGUAGGUGGCAAGCGUUGUCCGGAAUUAUUGGGCGUAAAGCGCGCGCAGGUGGUUUAGAAAGUCUGAUGUGAAAGCCCACGGCUCAACCGUGGAGGGUCAUUGGAAACUAAUAAACUUGAGUGCAGGAGAGAAAAGUGGAAUUCCAAGUGUAGAGGUGAAAUGCGUAGAGAUUAGGAGGAAGACCGGUGGCGAAAGCGGCUUAUUAGCAUGAAACUGACAAUGAGGCGCGAAAGCGUGGGGAGCAAACAGG
rnacentral:rRNA from 1 species